GGCUGUCAGUGUAAUUGAAGCUACUCCUGGUUUUUAUAACUCCGCGGCGGGGAGUUGCAUCCAGCCAGCGGCGUGCGGUGACGCAUGGGAGCGAUGGCGCAGAUGAAGGGCUCAUCUGGAAUUCGGUGGUUUUAUACUAAUGUACACCUGCCCGGGAUGUGCGCAGGCGGCUGGCGAGCUCUCAAGGCUCCGAGACAGCGCAGGUUGGAUCCUUCUAACCCCAGGGAGAAGCCUUUCCUUUGGGGUCCCACUCACUCUUCCAGCAUCCCACGGAGGGACGUGGGUCCUACUCCCUCCAGACCUUCCCCCCACCCCAUGGCUCAUCCCGGCCAUCCCUUUUUUUUUUUUUUUUGCCUGUUAAGAGCGUUAAGCGCGGCGUGUGUCACCGCGAGGAAAGGGUGGGGUGGCUGUGUACGUGUGUGCCAAAGUGUCGCCGCCGCCAGAGGAGGGUGGUUUUUGCUUGGAAGGAGCCGACGUGCAGGGACGAAGCAGCGGAGCGUUGCUAACUCCCGAGCCAGGAAACAAACCCUUCUACUUCGGGGCAGCGUUUAAAGGAAGCGACGGAGAAAAAAAAAAUCUCCCAGCAGGUUAUACCGAGCCUUUAGUAAAUAGAAAUUCUUCUGAGAUGUUAUUUUUUGGCGUUGUUUUUUCUCUUUUGGUGAGUUCUCAGGCGUCUAGGCCAGCCAUUGACCAAGAGCAGGAGGAGAGAAGAUUUUUAGGGAAAAACUUAUCCCAUAAUAGACAUUCUUCUUGUGUCCCCAAACCUUCUAGCAACGGUCUUAAAAGCAUGACCCCGACGUGGGCAAACCACUGAUCUUUGAACACUGUUGAUUCCUGCACUGGUUGUUUCUUUUUCCCUUUAAAAGCUUGAGUGCAAGAGAGAAGCCCAAGCUCCUCUGCCGUCAUCAAGUUGAGUGCAGAAGGGAAGUUACAGGGGGAUUUUGCAGUUCUUGUCCCCUUCAGUAAGUGAAAUAAAUAAUGCAAAUGUGCUCUGGUACCA
rnacentral:lncRNA from 1 species